GGCCUGGAUAGUUCAGUUGGGAGAGCACUUGACCGGUAAUCAAGAGUUUCCGGGUUCAAACCCCGGUUCAGUCA